GAGAGCAUUCCAGGCAGCGAGAACAGCCAGUGCAAAGGCCCUGAGGUCAAAGCAGGUAAGGAGUGUUAGAGGAAGAGGAGAUGAUGCAGCCAGAGCAGAGUGAGCAAAGCAGAGAGGAGAGGAGGGGACUGUCUCCUGAGUCUGCUGCCUGCUGCGUGGAGGCUGUGAGUUUUACUGAUACUCUGCACUCUUGUCCUCACAGAUCAGCAGGCAUGCUUCCAUACCUGCCGCCAGUGGCCCCUUGCUGAGGGCCCUCCUGUGCACCGUGUCAUCUCAGCUCCCAAAUACCCUCAUUAUUCCCACUUUGUAGAUGAGAAAACAGAGGGAUGAGAUGGGAUUCAGCUGGAAAAAGAAACCCUACAAAACCACCUCCGUGGAGAGCCACUGCCCCACGAGUGUGUGAUGCCUGCAGUAGGCGAAGCCAGCAGAUGGAGAAGGUGCGGCAGGAGGGCGCUGGCCUGGCCCAGUUGGGGUGGGCCCUGGCAUGGUGAGGAAAUGGUGGUUCAGAGAGGUCAUCCGACUUGCCCAAGUCCACACAGCCUGGAGGAGGAAUCACUUCAGUGCAAACUCAGGAAUGGAAAACCAUGGCUGGUUUUCUCUGGAUGUAGCCUGGGCCCAGCCUCCACCUGCUGCCAGCCCACCGAGGGCCCCAGGGCCUCUGAGAUCGCCCCUGGCAUGAGAGUGACUGUAUUUUAUCAAACACAUCUGCUGAGGGGACAUUGCCUUUAGCGAUCAACAUCUCAUGCCUCACUGAGCCCUCACCGGUCUUUAGAGGCAAGGACUUGGUUGUCUCCACAUUCUAGAUGAGGACACUGGGGCCUAGAGAAGGCUCCACGGGGGCUGAAACUGCCUCCAGAAACUUCCAUGGAGGAUGUGGCCCAAGUUCAUGACUCCUGAACUCCAGCCAGACCCGUCUGGAUGCUCAGGGAGGGGAGGACCCUGGCCCUGGGUAAAUGCUCCAGCCUAGCCCUGGGCAUCUCAACCAUGAGUGCCCCUGGUGGGCUGAGGAUCUGCGGCCUGGGAAUAAGAUGGGCUUUGAGAAAUGUGUACUUGGCCAGGUUGCUUUUCUUCUUGGACCUCAGUUUUCCCAUCCAUGCAAUGGGCACAAAGAAGACCCCUUCCAGAGGUUGCAGAAAUAAACGUGGUGCUGUAUGUGUCGUGUUAGGCAGAGAGCCUGGGACACAGCCAGGGUUUAGGGCCUUGUCUGGGUCCGGCAGAGCCUGCAGUGGGUCUGAGCCACCCAGGGCUCACCCCUCUCCCCCAGGCCCUGCUGAGGGAACCCAGUCGCAGCUCCCCCAGUCUGUUCCCCACCUCUGCCUGUCCCAGCAUCCCUCGAUUCCCUCCUGUAGCAGAUACAGCCCUCAAGCUCAGCUUGACAGGGAGUGUGACCUCUGCUCUGUGGCUUGUAGCCUCUCCAGCCCCUCUGGCCAGUCGGGUCAAACAGCAAAUGUCAGUCCCUGUUGGGGUGUGCCCAGCCCAGCGCUAUCCCAAAGCCCUAGAUCAAGGUUUGUUUCAUUGUGGUAAAAUAUGUGUAACAUAAAAUGAACCAUCUUUAACCAUUAAGUGUACAGUUCGUGGCUUUAAGGACACUCACACUGUUGUGCAACCGUCACCAUUCUCCACCUCCAGAACUUUCUCAUCUUCCUGGACUGAAAGUCCGUCCUCGUUCAACACAACUCCCCACCCCUGGCCCCAGCCCCAGCAGCCACCCCUCUGCUUUCUGUCUUGACCCAUUGGACUGCCCUCCGGCCUUCUAUAUGGGAUCCUACAGACUUGGACUUUUUGUGACUGGUUUAUUUCAAUUAGCAUAAUGUCCGCAAGGUUCCUCCCUGUUGGAGCAUGAGUCAGAAUUUCCAUCCUUUCUCUGUUUGAAUAUCGUCUCCUCCUCCGUUGAGACCAAGUUGUGCUCAUUCGCCUAACCCUCAGGGGACCCUUGGCUUGCUCACACACCCUGGCUGUCGCGAACAAUGUGUGAGCAACACACAUGGGUGUGCAAAUGUCUGAGACCCAGUUUUCAGUUCUUUGGGGUGUAUACCUAGAAGUGGAAUUUCUAGAUCAUGUGGUGAUUAUGUUCAACUUUUUUGAGGAACUGCCCAAAGUCUUGGGGUUUCAAGUAGGACACAAGCAUUGGGGAAGGCCCCUCAGGCCACACUGUGGACAGGGAGAUACAGAAUCAGGAGCUAGACAUCAUGGGUUCAAAUCCUGGUUCUGCCACUUCCUGAGGGGGUGACCUUGGGUGGGUCACUUACCCUCUGUGCAUCAGUGUCUCAGCUGUACUGUGGGAUGCGGGCAGCAGCUGCCUUGUGGGGCUGAGGUGGUGCGGGGAGCAUGUCCUUAGAACGGUGCCUGGGCCCCAGAAGCUCUGGUAACCGUUCGUUCUUUGUUGUCCCAGGGAUCUGAUCCUGCGAACCCGCUGCUUCCGUGGCCCUCCCCCAGCUUGGUCCCUCCAUAGA